rnacentral:rRNA from 1 species
AUUGAACGCUGGCGGCAUGCUUUACACAUGCAAGUCGAACGGUAACAGGCCGCAAGGUGCUGACGAGUGGCGAACGGGUGAGUAAUGCAUCGGAACGUGCACAGUCGUGGGGGAUAACUACUCGAAAGAGUAGCUAAUACCGCAUACGAUCUAUGGAUGAAAGCGGGGGACCGUAAGGCCUCGCGCGAUUGGAGCGGCCGAUGUCAGAUUAGGUAGUUGGUGGGGUAAAGGCUCACCAAGCCAACGAUCUGUAGCUGGUCUGAGAGGACGACCAGCCACACGGGGACCGAGACACGGCCCAGACUCCUACGGGAGGCAGCAGUGGGGAAUUUUGGACAAUGGGCGCAAGCCUGAUCCAGCAAUGCCGCGUGCAGGAAGAAGGCCUUCGGGUUGUAAACUGCUUUUGUACGGAACGAAACGGCUCUGGUUAAUACCCGGGGCUAAUGACGGUACCGUAAGAAUAAGCACCGGCUAACUACGUG